rnacentral:rRNA from 1 species
GCGGCAAGAGCUCAGAUUUGAAAUCGUGUUUCGGCACGAGUUGUAGAGUGUAGGCGGGAGUCUCUGUGGAGCGCGGUGUCCAAGUCCCUUGGAACAGGGUGCCUGAGAGGGUGAGAGCCCCGUAGGGUGCUGCGCGAAGCUUUUGAGGCCCUGCUGACGAGUCGAGUUGUUUGGGAAUGCAGCUCCAAGCGGGUGGUAAAUUCCAUCUAAGGCUAAAUAUUGGCGAGAGACCGAUAGCGAACAAGUACUGUGAAGGAAAGAUGAAAAGCACUUUGAAAAGAGAGUGAAACAGCACGUGAAAUUGUUGAAAGGGAAGGGUAUUGGGCUCGACAUGGGGGGUGCGCACCGCUGUCUCUUGUAGGCGGCGCUCUGGGCGCCCUCUGGGCCAGCAUCGGUUCCUGCUGCGGGAGAAGGGGCUCCGGAAAGUGGCUCUUCGGAGUGUUAUAGCCGGGGCCAGAUGCCGCGUGUGGGGACCGAGGACUGCGGCUUCUGUCUCGGAUGCUGGCAUAACGGCGCAAUACCGCCCGUCUUGA